UACGGAAGGCAGCAGUGGGGAAUAUUGCACAAUGGGCGCAAGCCUGAUGCAGCCAUGCCGCGUGUAUGAAAAAGGCCUUCGGGUUGUAAAGUACUUUCAGUCGUGAGGAAGGUGUUAAGGUUAAUAACCUUAGCAAUUGACGUUAGCGACAGAAGAAGCACCGGCUAACUCCGUGCCAGCAGCCGCGGUAAUACGGAGGGUGCGAGCGUUAAUCGGAAUUACUGGGCGUAAAGGGCACGCAGGCGGUUAAUUAAGUUGGAUGUGAAAUCCCCGGGCUUAACCUGGGAAUGGCAUUCAAGACUGGUUAGCUAGAGUCUUGUAGAGGGGGUAGAAUUCCAUGUGUAGCGGUGAAAUGCGUAGAGAUGUGGAGGAAUACCGGUGGCGAAGGCGGCCUCCUGGACAAAGACUGACGCUCAUGUGCGAAAGCGUGGGGAGCAAAC
rnacentral:rRNA from 1 species